AGAGUUUGAUCCUGGCUCAGAACGAACGCUGGCGGCAGGCCUAACACAUGCAAGUCGAACGGGUCCUUCGGGACUAGUGGCGGACGGGUGAGUAACGCGUGGGAAUAUGCCCUUCGGUUCGGAAUAGCCUCGGGAAACUGGGAGUAAUACCGGAUACGGUCUACGGACGAAAGAUUUAUCGCCGAAGGAUUAGCCCGCGUUGGAUUAGGUAGUUGGUGGGGUAAUGGCCUACCAAGCCGACGAUCCAUAGCUGGUUUGAGAGGAUGAUCAGCCACACUGGGACUGAGACACGGCCCAGACUCCUACGGGAGGCAGCAGUGGGGAAUCUUAGACAAUGGGGGAAACCCUGAUCUAGCCAUGCCGCGUGAGCGAUGAAGGCCUUAGGGUUGUAAAGCUCUUUCAGUGGGGAAGAUAAUGACGGUACCCACAGAAGAGCCCAGAUCGGCC
rnacentral:rRNA from 1 species